AAAUUGAAGAGUUUGAUCAUGGCUCAGAUUGAACGCUGGCGGCAGGCCUAACACAUGCAAGUCGAACGGUAACAGGAAGCAGCUUGCUGUUUCGCUGACGAGUGGCGGACGGGUGAGUAAUGUCUGGGAAACUGCCUGAUGGAGGGGGAUAACUACUGGAAACGGUAGCUAAUACCGCAUAACGUCGCAAGACCAAAGAGGGGGCCCUUC
rnacentral:rRNA from 1 species